rnacentral:tRNA from 1 species
CCGUAGCUCAGUUGGAUAGAGCGACAGAUUCCUAAUCUGUAGGUCACAGGUUCGAAUCCUGUC